rnacentral:piRNA from 1 species
UGCAGGAGCUACACGUGGGCAUAAGG